rnacentral:rRNA from 1 species
AACGAACGCUGGCGGCAUGCCUAACACAUGCAAGUCGAACGAUACCUUCGGGUCUAGUGGCGCACGGGUGCGUAACGCGUGGGAACCUUCACUUAGGUUCGGAAUAACUCCCCGAAAGGGGUGCUAAUACCGGAUAAUAUCUUCGAACCAAAGAUUUAUCGCCUUGGGAUGGGGCCGCGUUGGAUUAGCUAGUUGGUAGGGUAAAAGCCUACCAAGGCGACGAUCCAUAGCUGGUCUGAGAGGAUGAUCAGCCACACUGGGACUGAGACACGGCCCAGACUCCUACGGGAGGCAGCAGUGGGGAAUAUUGGACAAUGGGCGAAAGCCUGAUCCAGCAAUGUCGCGUGAGUGAUGAAGGCGUUAGGGUUGUAAAGCUCUGUUACCCGGGAUGAUAAUGACAGUACCGGGAGAAUAAGCGCCGGCUAACUCCGUG